GGUGGCUUAGUGGUAAAGUGCUUGCUUCGCAUGCAUGUAGCCCUGGGUUCCAUUCCUCAGCACCA
rnacentral:tRNA from 1 species